rnacentral:rRNA from 1 species
CGCGUAGGCGGUUUGUUAAGUCGGAUGUGAAAGCCCCGGGCUCAACCUGGGAAUUGCAUUCGAUACUGGCAAACUAGAGUAUGGUAGAGGGAAGUGGAAUUCCAGGUGUAGCGGUGAAAUGCGUAGAUAUCUGGAAGAACACCAGUGGCGAAGGCGACUUCCUGGACCAAUACUGACGCUGAGGUGCGAAAGCGUGGGGAGAGAACA